rnacentral:rRNA from 1 species
UACGUAGGUGGCAAGCGUUGUCCGGAUUUACUGGGCGUAAAGAGCGCGCAGGCGGUCGUUCAAGUCGAGUGUGAAAGCCCCCGGCUCAACUGGGGAGGGUCACUCGAUACUGAUCGACUUGAAGGCGGGAGAGGGAAGCGGAAUUCCGGGUGUAGCGGUGAAAUGCGUAGAUAUCCGGAGGAACACCGGUGGCGAAGGCGGCUUCCUGGACCGACACUGACGCUGAGGCGCGAAAGCUAGGGGAGCAAACGGG